AUUUUUCUGUCUUUCUGUCUCUACCAAAACGAAGUCUCUCUUCUUUGAGCGAGAAAAAAUUCGCUCUAGGAAGAGUGUCUCAUCAGAACCCUAACUUUCUCGGGAAAAAGGGAUUCCUCAUAGAUUUUUCUGUAAUGCCCUGCUGCUUUUAUGAAUAUUGUUCAAUGAAUUAAUCGAUUUCUUCAUUCAGCAGGUCAGUUUUUUGAGUACUUGUAUGCGUUUUAGUAACGUUGAGGACUCCGGUUGGUUCUCGGGAAAGUUCGGUGUAAAGGCUUUCUAGAAAAUUGGAUUUUGGUUUUGCUUUCAUUUCGGUUAUUCGUUCCCGAAAACCAAACAGAAGGAUUGCUGUCCUUGCAAAGGUCAUAAUUGAACUUCUCUAAGUUCAUGUCCAUAGCUUGUUUUCUCCCUAAAUAAGAUGGAGAAGGAUGCAAAUGUUACUGUCUCACUUGUUCCAGCCUCAGAGUUACUCUCUCAGACUAUCCUGACUGUCUUUGACACUGUACAUGCUGCCAAAGCAGUCAUCAUUCAAGAUGCGAAUUUCCAGCAAUUCGCAAUUUAUUUGGAGAUGGUCACAGUGGUCCUGAAAGAGUUGGCCAAUCUAAAGAUAGAGGAUUCUGAGAGGUUAAAAAUUGCUGUUGCAAAUCUUAAUCGAGAGAUUAAGGUUGCAAAGCAGCUAACUGUGGAGUGUGGGAAGAGAAACAAGAUCUAUCUCUUAGUCAAUUGCCAGAGAAUUUCCAAGGACUUAGAGUGUAUCACAAAAGAGAUUAGUCGGGUUCUAGGCCUUAUUCCUGAUAUUUCAUUCAAUAUUAAUGAUAAGAUUAGUAAACUACGCAAGGAUAUGUUAGAUUCCAAGUAUCAAGCAACUGCAGUGGAGGAAGAAAUUCUGGAAAAAAUUGAAACUGGUAUACGGGAGAGGAAUGUCGACAAAUCCUAUGCAAAUAAUUUGCUCCUCUGUAUUGCCGAGGCUGCUGGGAUUUCAACUGAGCAGUCAGUAUUGAAGAGAGAGUUAGAACAAUUCAAGAGUGAAAUAGAGGAUGUGAACCUCAGAGAAGACAGUGCAGAAGCUUUAAAAAUGGGAAAGAUUGUUGCAUUGCUUGCAAAAGCAGAUGCUGCCACAUCUCCUGAGGAGAAAGAAAUCAAAUAUUUUAAUCAGCGAAAUUCUUUGGGUACGCAACGACUGGAACCUCUACAUGCAUUCUACUGUUCAAUCACUCAUGAUGUCAUGGUGGAUCCUGUGGAAACUUCCUCAGGGCAGACAUUUGAGAGAAGUGCAAUAGAGAAGUGGAUUGCAGAAGGGAAUAAGCUCUGUCCAUUGACAGCGACUCCCUUGGACAUGUCAGCUCUACGACCUAACAAAAUUCUUCGACAAUCAAUUGAAGAAUGGAAGGAUAGGAACACCAUGAUUAUGCUUGCUUCUCUCAAACCUGCACUCCAUUCAAAUGAUGAGCAAGAAGUUCUUCAAUCUCUGGGCAAGCUGCAUGAUCUAUGUAUUGAACGAGAGUUGCACCGUGAAUGGGUAAUGAUGGAUGAGUACUGUCCAAUUCUUAUUGGACUUCUUGGUGCAAAAAACCGUGAAAUAAGAAAACUUUCUCUAGUCAUCCUUUGCAUUCUUGCAAAGGAUAGCAAUGAGAAUAAGGAAAGAAUUGCUAGAGUGAAUAAUGCAAUUGAAUCAAUUGUUCGUUCCCUUGCCCGCCAGAUUGGGGAAAGCAAGUUAGCGUUGCAAUUACUAUUGGAGCUAUCAAGAAGUAAUCUAGUGCGUGACUUCAUCGGCAAUGUUCAGGGUUGCAUAUUUCUCUUAGUGACUAUCUCCAGUGGUGAUGAUACUCAAGCUGCCAAAGAUGCAAAGGAGCUUUUGGAAAAUCUCUCUUUUCUUGAUCAGAAUGUUAUUCAGAUGGCAAGGGCAAAUUAUUUUAAACCUUUGUUGCGCCUUCUUUCUUCAGGGCCAGUGAAUGCUAAAAUGACUGUGGCUGCUACUUUGUCAGAGAUUGAGUUAACUGACAAUAAUAAAUUGAGUCUAUUUGAAGAUGGAGCACUUCAGCCACUUCUAGUAUUGCUCUCACAUAGUGAUAUGGAGAUGAAGAAAGUGGCUGUUAAAGCUCUUUAUAACCUCUCCAGUGUGCCACAAAAUGGAUUGCGGAUGAUUAGAGAAGGUGCUGCAGGCCCAUUGUUUGAACUUCUCUACCGUCACAGCUUGUCUUCCCCAAGUUUGCGUGGAGAGGUGGCAGUUAUCAUUAUGCACCUUGCAAUAUCAACCACAACCCUGGAAGCUGAUCAAAUGCACGUUUCAUUGUUGGAAUCUGAGGAAGAUAUAUUCAAGCUUUUCUCUCUCAUAUCCUUGACAGGACCUGACAUACAACAAAUUAUUCUCCGAACUUUUCAUGCCAUGUGUCAAUCUCAUUCUGGUUUAGACAUCAGAACUAAGUUAAGGCAGCUCUCUUCUGUUCGAGUACUAGUUCAAUUAUGCGAGUUUGACAACCAUACAGUACGUGCAAAUGCUGUGAAGCUCUUUUGUUGCUUGACAGAAGAUGGUGAAGACAGUACCUUUUUAGAGCAUGUGAGCCAGAGAUACAUAGAGACAUUAAUCAGAAUAAUCAAAACUUCCGAUAAUGUGGAAGAGAUUGCUGGUGCAAUGAGUAUCAUCUCUAACCUUCCUAAGGAGGCCCAUAUAACGCAGUGGCUUCUUGAUUCCGGAGCUCUUCAAAUCAUUUUUACUUGUCUUACUGAUGGAAAUAGUAGUGCUUCAUACAAAAGGCAAUUAAUUGAGAAUGCUGUUGGCGCUCUUUGUCGUUUCACUGUUUCAACAAAUCAGAAUUGGCAAAAGGAGGUAGCCAAAUGUGGUUUUUUCCCAAUCCUGCUACAGUUUCUAGAUUCUGGAACAGCUUUGACAAAGAGAAAUGCAGCAGUUUCACUUAAGCAAUUUUCAGAAAGUUCCAAUGGCUUAAGCCAACCAGUGAAGAAGCAUGGAGUUUUUUGGUGCUGUUUGGCCUCUCGUGAAACUGGUUGCCGAGUGCACUUAGGCAUCUGUACAGUUGAGUCCUCAUUUUGUCUUUUAGAGGCUAAUGCUGUAGAACCCCUAGUGAGGGUGCUUGUGGAACCAGAUGUUGGAGCUUGUGAAGCUUCUUUAGAUGCACUUUUGACAUUGAUUGAUGGUGAAAGAUUGCAAAAUGGGAGUAAGGUGCUUUCUGAAGUUAAUGCUAUUGUUCCAAUUAUAAGGUUAUUGAGUUCAUCGUGUACCAAGUUGCAGGAGAAAGCUCUGAAGGCUUUAGAAAGGAUCUUUCGACUAAUUGAUUUCAAACAGAAGUAUGGGAAUUUAGCCCAAAUGUCAUUAGUUGACAUUACUCAGAGGGGACAUGGUGGUAUGAAAUCCUUAGCUGCCAAAGUACUUGCUCACUUGGAUGUGCUCCAUGAACAAUCUUCUUACUUCUAAUGGAUGGUGGGUGAUGGAGUUUGUUAUAGUUUAGCAUAAUGCCAUUUCUGUGAGUACCAUGUGAAGAAAGCCUUUCUGGAUAUGCAAAUUAGAUUCCAUCCUUAACCACAAUGGGAGGCUACAUUGAACAUCCCUGAUAAGGAAUAUAGAGGUUUGUACUUGCCACAUCCAAUGGAGAUUCUGCUAGUGCACUCAAAUUGUUUUUUCAGUAGCACAUAACAAGUUCCAGCAUCAAGACUGAGAUUUGCAAAGACAAAGAAGAAGAAGAAGAAGAGAAAAAAGAAAAAUAGGGUUUCAUUGAUGAAAGGCUUACAAAAGAGAUUACGUAAAAAACUUUAUAUAGGCUAACAAGAAAAGUUAAAAGACUAUUCUACCCUUAUUGAUGAUAAGAAAUAACUAAGCUAAAAUACUAUCUAACAUUCUCCCUCAAACUCACGAUGCAGUAGCAAGAAGUAUCGAGAGUUUGCCAACAAAAAAAUAAAAUCACUGAACAGUCUAAGACUUGGUGAAGGAGUCAACAAUCUGCAUGGAAGAAGAGACAAAGGACAAAGCAAUCAUCUCACGCUGGAGUUCUUGCCGAGUAGUAUGACAAUCGAUAUCAAUGUCUUUGGUUCGCUCAUGAAAAACUGAAUUGCGGGUAAUUUGAAUGGCACUCUUAUUGUCGCAGUAAAGAGAAGUGAGAGUAGUAAUAGGUACACCCAUAUCUACUAUUAACCAACACAACCAAACAAUCUCAUUUGUGGUAGUUGCCAUAGCACGGUACUCAACCUCAAUGGAAAAUUGAGAGACAACGUUCUAUUUUUUACUCUUCCAUGAAAUAAGAGAUCCACCUAAGAAGAUGCAAAAACCAAUUGUAGACUUACGAUCAUUUGGGUUACUAGCCUAAUCAGCAUCACAGUAUGCACAAAGCUCCAAAAAGGAAGUCGAAGGAAAGACAAGACUCUGACAAAGAGUGCCCCAAAGAUAGCAUAAAAUGCGAAGAACAACAACCCAAUGAAUUGUAGUGGGGAAUGCAACGAACUGAUUGACAAUGUGCACAACAUGAGAAAUAUCUGGACGAGUAAUAGUGAGAUAAAUUAAGCUACCAACCAGGGUUCGAUACAAAGUGGGAUCAGGCAAAUGAGUACCAUUUGUAGAGGCAUAUCGAACAUUAAGCUCCAGAGGAGUAUCAACAGUCCAAGUAUCUGUAAGUUGAGCUCAUUGAAGGAUAUCUGCUAUGUAUUUAGACUAAGAAAGAAGGUAACCCUUAGGAGAACGGGCAACCUCAAUACCCAAGAAGUAACGUAAAGGACCUAAGUCUUUCAUGUCAAACUAUUGAGUCAAUUCAGUCUUUAGCCGUGCAAUACUACCAUCAACAUCAUCACUAGUAAUAAUCAUGUCAUCAAAAGAGCUGAAUCAUGAGCACUAGAAUAAAAACCAAGGGAAGUAACCGCUGCAGAAAACCUCUCAAACCAAGCUCGAGGGGCUUGUUUGAGACCAUACAAAGCCUUUUUGAGUCUGCAAACUUCUCUAGGGUUGUGAGAAAUACUAGGAGAAGGUACCAUAUAAACUUCCUUUUUAAGAUCUCCAUUUAAGAAAAUGUUUUUAACUUCCAUCUGUGAGAUGUGCCACUGGCGGGCAGAGGCAACUACAAUGAGAGCACAAAUAGUGAUUAUCUUGGCAACUGGUGCAAAAGUCUUCUCAUGGUUCAUACCAUAUUUCUAAGCAAAACCCUUCGCAACCAACCUAGCUUUGUAGUGCUCAACUGAACCAUAUGACUUUGUUUUGAUUUUAUAAAUCCAACAAGAACCAAUAGAGCUCUUACACUAGCGGAAGUGGCACAAAUCCCAAGUAUUUGUCCGAUGUAAAGCAAAAAGUUCCUCAGCCAUAGCCUGCUCCCAAUUGGGAUCAAGAACAACCUCUGUAUAGGAGGUAGGCUCACAAAGAUUGUGAAGAGAUGCUAAAAAUGAAGUAAAUGAAAGAGAAUAACAAGAAUAAGCAAAAUUUUGUAACUUAGUGGACUUACAAAUGCGCUUUGGAUAGCGAGAUGGAAGAGGAUCUGCAAUCACAAGAUGUGCUAAGAUGACAGAAGAAGGAGGCAUGGAGGCAUCAUUUGUGGAUGGUGGAGCAUCAGAAAUACCAUGAGUUGUAUCAUUCGUAGUUGCUUGAGUCCCAUGUGAAUAAUGAUAAGGGAAAGGUUGGAUGGGAGAAGGUAAGGGAGUGACAAGAUAGGGAACAUCAUGUGAUAUGGGUCAGCUAGUAGGAGACAUAGGGUUAGGAGGAUCAUCAAGUAAAUGGUCAAUGCAAAUAAUAUUGGACUUUGAUAAGGUAUGACACUUGGUAGGAAUAGAGAAAAAAGGAAUAUGGUCAAGGAAGAAGACAUGACAAGAAAUAUAUAACUGUUGAGCUACAAGAUCAUAACAAUGAUAACCCUUUUGACCCUCACCAUAGCUAAGAAAGACACAAAUGAUGGAGUGUGAAGAUAGCUUGUUACAUUCUACACUAGGACGAAGAAUGAAACAAGUGCAACCAAAAACCCGUAAAGAAGAGUAGUCAAGAGGGUGACCAUACAAAUUUUCAUAGGGAGAUAGACAUGAUGUAUGAGAAGAAGGUGUUUUAUUGAUCAAAUGCACAACAGUGAGAACAACUUUGCCCCAAAAUGCACUUGGGACACCAGCAGACAAGAGAAGGGAGCGAGCAGUCCCAACAAUAUGCCUAUGUUUUCUUUUAACGACCUCAUUCUGUUGAGGAGUGUCAGUACAAGAGGAUUGAUGCAUAGUACCAUCAAAGAUAAGUAAUUCAGAAAAGGCUAUAAAUGUAUAUUCCCCACCUAAAUCACAACGAAAGCACUUGAUAAUAGCAGAGUGUUGAGUUUUAACAAAUGAGCGAAAAGUAGUAUAAACAUGUAUAAAAUCAAACCGAUGCCUCAUUAGAUAAACCCAACAAUAUCGAGUGUGAUCAUCAAUAAAUGAGACAUAAUAUUUGGACCACCCUUUUGUGGCAACAGUGGAAGGUCCCCACACAUUAGAAUGAAUCAAGUCAAAUGGUGCAACAAAGGGGGAAACACUUCGAUUAAAGAGUAAAGCAGAAAACUUUGCCAAUUUACAACCACUACAAUAAGAAAUAUCAUGAGUUUGAAAAUUGCCCAAAAAUCCGUUAGAAAUUAAAUAUUUUAAAUGAGGGGUCGAAAUAUGGCCAAGUCUAGAGUGCCACGAAUAAAAACUAGAGGAAGAUGAAGUUAAAUGGAAAUAUGACAAAUCAACACUCAAAGCAGCUAAAUUUGAAACUCGUGGAAGUCGCAACUCGUCCAUGACAUAUAAGCCCUCCUGCCUACAACCUAUCCCAAUCAACCUCUGGGAUUGAGGAUCUUAUACAUGACAAGAAGUAGGAGAAAGCGAACAAAAUAACAAGAAUCAUAGAGUUGACUCACAAAUAUGAGAUUCAUAGUAAGUUUAGGAAUGCAAUAAACAUUAAAAAGAGACAAAUAAGGUGUGCAUAUAGAACCAACACCUGCUAAAGGCAUUGGAGUGCUAUCAGCAGUGAUGACUGACACAGAGAAAGGAGAAUGGCACAUAGAUACAAAAGAAGAUGAAAAAAGUGACAUAUGAUGUGAGGCACCAUAGUCUAAGACCCAUAAAGAAGAGGAUUUACUUGAAAUGUUAGGGAAUGGUAGCCCUGAUGAAGAUGGAGUAGACAUGGCAUACGACUGUAGCGAUAGUUGUGUAGUAAGGAACUUCUAAAACUGCUCUAGAAUGGCCAUGUUGAGAUUUGAGGAUGAUGCAACUUUAGGUAUAAGUGUUGUAGUAUUAGACUAUGAUGACCUAUAAGCUCGUUUUUUAGGUUGUCCUUCAGGAUGCCAUUGUUGUGAAGGUGUGGUUGCCAUUGCUGUUACGUAGCAGGAGGUAGUUGCCCUACUAUUGCAUAGGAGGAGGUGGUCGCCACUAUAGCUAUGUAGGAAGAGGUUGUUGAAAUGUUUGUGCUUUAUGCAAUAGUUUAGGACACUGAGCCUUUCAAUGUCCUUUUUGCUUACAAAAGUUGCACUCAUCAAAACUAACAUGUGUAGGUGAUUUAGUUUGGUUGCUUGAGAAAGGUUUGCUAGGAAUGGCUAGAACUGAUGGGCUAGAUGCUGGGGAAGGCCCUUUCCUACCUGAGUCUUAAGACAUGGUUGUUCAACUAGAAGCUCACUUACCAUUGUAUCAAUAGAGGGGGUGACGACAACGAUGUAGAAUAUUUCCCCAAAGCCCCUCAAAGUCAUUACGAAGAGCCAUCAAGAACUCAACAAGACGUUGCCGUUCUCGACGAGUUAGAUACUCAACAUUGCUUUGAAGAGACGUGGGCUCCGUGAGCUCCAACUGAUCCCAAAGAUCAGACAUCGUAGAAUAAAACUCUUGGGUACUCAUCCUUUUGUUGCACUGCUCAAAUAUCAGACUCCAAUUGAUAUUGUUUUGCAAAGUUUGAUUGUGUGUACAACAGUGCCAAAUGAUCCCAAACUGUUUUUGCAAUCUCAUAUUUUGCCAAUUGUAUGCCAAUUGCUCAACAAAAUUAUUAAUCCAAAUUAGAAUCUUUGAGUUGUUUGCUUCCCGACUCUCUAACAUAUCAAUAUAUUUUUCAUCCCUAUCAUUUGUAGGUUUGCUCAAGACACCACUGACAUAACCCCACAUUCGUUUCCCUUUCAAAAAAUUUCUCAUCACAUAACUCUAAUACGAGUAAUUAUUUCCAUCUAAUCUGACACUAAUGGAUUGAAGAGAGUCAUCUCUUUCACCAACCAUGAUCAACUAAUAAUCUUACCACAAUAUAAUCCAAACAAAACAAAGCGAGCAAGAAUAUCAAAUAAUUGAACCUCCAAAAUAGCUGCAAAAAAUACGUCUUCAAAUUUGCUUGCGAAACCACAAAAAAAUAAAUAAAUAAAUAAAUAAAUAAAACAAACAAACAAACAAACAAUACUUCAAAGUUGCCGAAAAUCCUUUUUAAAACAAAUUAAGAUUGACAAAAGAUCUUCGCGAAAAACCCCCCAAAAUUUUUUUUGCCAUGAAAUCUUCUAUCAAAGGCCCUAUGUUGAUCAUUGCUCUAAUACCAUGUGAGAUUUGCAAAGACAAAGAAGAAGAAGAAGAAGAAAAGAAAAAAGAAAACUGGGGUUUCAUUGACAAAAAGCUUAAGAAAGAGAUUACAUAAAAAGUUUUGUAGAGGCUAACAAGAAAAGCUAAAAGACUAUUCUACCCUUAUUGAUGAUAAGAAAUAAUUAAGCUAAAAUACUAUCUAACAAAGACCACCAUAAACAAUGUGGGUGUAGUGUUCUUGCCAUUUCUAUUGAUACUUUAAGAUAACAAAUUCAGAGGGGAAACCGACAAUGAUCAAACAAGUAAAGUUAACAGCAGAAGCUGAAAACAUUACUGUUGUGGCACCAAUAUGAAAUGCUUGUAGACAUGGUAAAUCAUUCCCUCUUUGGAAAGACCUUAUAUGCAAACCAGAAAAGGAGAAAAGCAAGGGCUCCACUAAGAAGAACCAAUUGACAUAUUGAGAUUUCCAAAGGUUCCGCAUCAAGUCUAGAGGUUGUCAUUAGGCAACUUGGAGGUAUCACAGAGGUUGGGCAUGGCUCCCAUCAACCACCAUGCAAUUAUUAGGUGGAAUCUUUGUAUAGCGGCCAGGCUUGAAAUUUGCUAGAAAGGUUAAAGCUUGAGUCAUGCUGAUGUACCCAUAUAACUCGAAGCACAUGUCAGAGACCGGGUGCCCCAGUUGUGAUAACAAUCGGGAGGAUGAAGAAGACAAUAGAGCAAGCAAGCAAGAAAGAAAACCAAGGCAACUGAAGUUCCUUUUUGUAAUACUCGCAUGCAAACAUAAAAGCAGCAAUAGCCAACACAAGGGUGAUGAGGAACGAUCACAUGAUUACUGAAUUGUACUUCUCAAUAAGCAAUGUGCCUCAUUCAAAAUGAGAAGUAGAAGAAACUCCCAACUUGGAGAAGAUCACACUUUAAUGGAGUAACUAUUUUUUCAUUGAUAGCAUAACAUGAAUAAAUGAUAAUGCCAUACUAGACCAGAUACCUUCUCAUCAAAGAGAGAGUUUGAAGAAUUUAAGAGUGGAUUGGGUAUAGGUAAGGAAAUAGAACAGAUUGUUUCCAGCUACAUCUCUUGAGAGGAAAGGAACGACAAAUGUUUUUCUUCUACACGUUAACAAAACUCUCCAGGUUGCUAUCACUGCUCAAACAUUGGAGGGCAAUCACCAUUCCCAAGCUUGCAAAGAAUGGAAUGGAGAAUAAGGAUAUGAUUGCCAAAGCAAAUGAAACCAUUGUUCAAUUUGCACCAGUGAAGAGCAAUUAAGUUUGGUACUUGCUAUUUUGAUUUGGCAUUCAUCUAAAAGGCUAACAAACCCAGUUAUGUGCCUUCAGCAUGUCAGGAGUCACACAUAUAACGAAAGGCUAAACUGUGUACAUCUACAGAAGAAGAGAAUAAAAGGUAUUGUUUCAAACUACAGGGGUCAAUCAAAAGGCUGUAUCAGAAAACAGGGCAGCCAUCAACUACAAUUCCUUUGGCAGUUGGGCAUGAAGCCAAGGGGCAUCCUUCUGGAUUGUUUCCCCACCAGUCGAUGCUAAUAUUCCUGGACCCGAGGGUAAGGAAUAUUAAUAUGGUCAUGAAGGCAGUUCCAGCAUCAAGACCACCAGAAACAACAUAGUUAUAGCGCUCCCACAACUUUGGUUUGUACCUGAAGAUUACAAAUCCAGAGAGGAACCCAACAAUGAUCCAACUCGUGAAGUUAACAGCAGAGGCUGGGGGCAUCAUUGCUGUGGAACCUAACAAGACUGGCAUGUGGAUAAGGGGAAUCCAUUUCUUUUUUGGGAAUGCCUUGUGCAUGAGCCAGACUAGGAGAGGGGCAAUGGCUCCAAGCAGAAAGAACCAGUUGACAUUCGAGUAGGCACCCAGGUUUCCAAAGAUUCGGCGAGUGCCAAUAAGCCCCCAAAUAACAGAGGCAUCGAAGAAGACAUUGUCCAUUGGGCAUCUCCAUGGACUGUCUGCAGGCAACAUAGUGGUAUCACAGAGGUUGGGAAUGGUUGCCAUCAACCACCAGGCAGUUAUCACGUAUACAAUUACAGCCACAACUGUUCCUACCACCUUGCAAUACCAAGGUGGAAUCUUCAUGUAGUGGCCCAGCUUGAAGUCGGCCAGAAAGGUUAGAGCUUGAGUCAUGCUGAUGUACCCAUAAACCUUGAAGCACAUGUUGGCAACAGGACGGCCUGGUGAUGAUGCCGAUUGGAAGGGUGAAGAAAAAGGCAAUGGCACAAGCAAGCAAGACACCCCACCACGGCAACUGAAGUACGUCAUUGUAAUACUCACAUGCAAAUAUGAUAGUGGCAAUGUUCACAACGUGGAUCACAAAAAACCACCAAUUGGGCACUGACUUGUACUUCUUCAUUAGCCAUGUAUGUAUAUCCAUCUUUUUCUCUCCAAAGGCACCUUUUGUUUGUUUCCAUAGCUCACUGCAUUUACCAGCUUAAAAGAGCUUUAGUUCAUGUUA